rnacentral:rRNA from 1 species
AUGGCACGGGUUGUGUCCAGCUGUGCCGCCCUCGUGGCGCAAAGGUCUUCCCCAAAACUGUGCAAACGUACAUGUCCUUUCAUUUCGAUCCAACCUGACGCCGAACUCACAUGCAGGAGGGGAUUUUCCGCCGCGAUAACCGCCAUCGAUGUGUCAGCGAAGAAGGUCGAGGAGAAGGCGGUGAAGUUGGGUAUGGCGGCGACAGAGGACACGACGAAGGACAAGACGGCGUUCUGGGAGCCGGACCCCAAGACCGGCGACUACCGGCCGGUGACCAGCACCAAGGAGGUGGAUCCGGCCGACCUGCGCGCAGAGAUGCUCAAGCGGAGGUUGCUGCAGCAGCAAUGA